UGGUAGUCCACGCCGUAAACGGUGGGUACUAGGUUUGGGUUUCCUUCCUUGGGAUCCGUGCCGUAGCUAACGCAUUAAGUACCCCGCCUGGGGAGUACGGCCGCAAGGCUAAAACUCAAAGAAAUUGACGGGGGCCCGCACAAGCGGCGGAGCAUGUGGAUUAAUUCGAUGCAACGCGAAGAACCUUACCUGGGUUUGACAUGCACAGGACGACGGCAGAGAUGGUCGUUUCCCUUGUGGCCUGUGUGCAGGUGGUGCAUGGCUGUCGUCAGCUCGUGUCGUGAGAUGUUGGGUUAAGUCCCGCAACGAGCGCAACCCUUGUCUCAUGUUGCCAGCACGUCAUGGUGGGGACUCGUGAGAGACUGCCGGGGUCAACUCGGAGGAAGGUGGGGAUGACGUCAAGUCAUCAUGCCCCUUAUGUCCAGGGCUUCACACAUGCUACAAUGGCCGGUACAAAGGACUGCGAAGCCGCGAGGUGGAGCGAAUCCUUUAAAGCCGGUCUCAGUUCGGAUCGGGGUCUGCAACUCGACCCCGUGAAGUUGGAGUCGCUAGUAAUCGCAGAUCAGCAACGCUGCGGUGAUACGUUCCCGGGCCUUGUACACACCGCCCGUCACGUCAUGAAAGUCGGUAACACCCGAAGCCGGUGGCCUAACCCGUAAGGGAGGGAACCGUCGAAG
rnacentral:rRNA from 1 species